AAAAAAAUUCAUCUCCUAAUCCUCUAAAGAUGUUCUAAUAAUUACUUAAGGUGUGGGUGAGAGACUCGAGAGUUUCUCUCUAAAGUGCUCUCAAAAGUAUCUAAAAUUAAAUUCUUCGGGGUCUCUCGAAGUCUCUUUAAAAAAUGUUGUAUUUAUAGAAUCUAACAGUGCGACUCAAGCGGUGUUUCAUGGCCCUAGUCAUGAAGUUUCCCUCCUAUGUGAGUUUUCUCCAUAGCUUAAGUAGUAUGUUCCUAUGGCUGAAGCCUCCUAAGAUUACUUCAUGAUGAAGGAUUCUCCAUGGCUUGAGCCUUAGGUUAAGGCUUGAGAAAACCUUUUUUGUUGGGUUUUCUUCAUGGCUCAACGUGCUAUACAAAAUUCCUUAGAAAGUGUUUAAUUUCUUCAAAUUUUCUCCAAAAUGCAACUUUGACUCUCUAAAAUGUUCCAUUCCUACAAAACAAGUAAAAAUGGACGUAGUUAUCAUGGAUUUUAUAUAGAGUUCAAGCAAGAUAAAUGUUAUUUUAACAUUGAAAUCAUCUAAUACCAAGCACUCAUCACCUGGUUGGUUUGCAAAAAUACAUAAUAAUUGAGAAUACCAAUUGUCAACACCCAAUUUCGUCCGGGUGAUUGAAUAAUAGGAUUUAGUUUUUGUUUUUUGUCUUAUUUUAUUUGCAUUUUUAUUUUGUUUUCACUAUUUUAUUUCUAUGUUAGUUUUUAUUUUUAUUUUUAGUUUUUAUUUUACUUCCUACUAUUCUCUUUUAUGUUAAUUUUCUUUUUGUUGUUUAGUUUUAUUUUCAUAGGUCCUUUUACUUUAAUUUUUAUGUUAACAAAAAAAAAACAAAAGAACAAAAAAAAGAAAAACAAACAAAACAAAGAAAUUAAAAAAAAAAAGAGAGAGAAUGUUGGCUUUGUCGUUUGUGGAAGAAAAGAGAGAACGUGGUCCUUGGUCUGAAAAGAGGACAAUGCAAGUUUGCAGGGGGAAGGGCAGCAAAACGGUUUUGGCAGGCAGAGAGGGUGUAGAGGAUCAUGGUAUUAAAAGCACAAGAAGCAGCAAAAGAAAGAAAAAGGCAGAGAAAGCUAGAGGAAGAGGAUACACUAUUACAGGGAUUCACCAUUCAUUGGCAGGGUAAGAAGAACAUCAGGGAAAAAGGGAGAGAACAUUUUGGUCAUGGAGAAAAAGUAACAACAGAAGUCUUCAGCCGGGAGAACGCGGCCUCUGGAAAACACAAAGCAAUAACGAAGGAACCAAUUCUGUAGAGGUGAGUUUUCUAUCUUGGUUCAGCUAAUCUAUUUGACUUUGCGCAUGACUCAAUGAUUUGGUUACAAUGGCAAUCUGUUUGCAUUAGUAUUUUCAUUUCUCCGAUUGCGUUGCCUACCCAAUAUCUCUAUCAUCAUCACAUCUUCAUCCCCAUUCCUUGAUCGCGCCCUGUUUAGAACUAUAAAAGCCCCUGUUCUACUUCUCUGUUUCAAAGCCACCGAGCACGAGCUCUCUGAUUUUCUACAACAACCUUUAGCCAAGCACCCUUCACAAUUUACAUCACCCUUUUAUCCCAGAAACCAUACACAGUCUCAAGCAAAAAAAAUAAUAAUGGGCAGAGAACAACUAUUACUCACCCAAUGCCAAACUAUCACACCUAACUACCAUAACACAAACCCAGUACCCACCACACCAUCAUCCUCAACCCGCACUGCGCAUAGCCAUAGAAGUAGGCAGAAACUCACACACAUAACACCCACUAUACAAUCAAUGAAUUAACGAUAGGGAAAUGGGAGAGAAUAGUGAUGCGAGUCAAUGACAGUGGCUGGGAGUUGCAACAAUGAGCAGGGGAGGUUGAGCCGGGAAUUGAAGUCGUGGAGGAAGAGGCAUAUUCCAUCAAGGUGGUUGGAGGCGGUGAGGGCGACGGCGGUGACGUCGAGUUGCCCUGACGAUGGCGGUGUCUUCGUAUUCGAAGAAGAAGAUAUUUGGCUCGUGUGACGGUGAAGGUCGCAGUCGUUGGCGAGAAUGAGAUGAACCUCGACGACGGAAGAGGGUGGCUCGUGGCUGCCGGCGGAGAUGGGAGGUUUCUAGGGUUAUCGGUGCGAGAGGGAGAAAGGGGGAACACCGUGGCCAGCGAUGGUCGCCGGUGACGCUUUGGACGGAAAUGGAGGAAGGGGCCUGAUGUCGGUGUCGGCCGGCGGUGAGAUGGCUGUCGGAGUGUUGCGGUGGCGCGCAAACCCCAGCCCUGGGCAAGUAGGUGCGAGAGAGAGAUUCGAGGUCUCUGAAGUGUUGGAAUGCAGAAUGAGAUGGAGGAAGCUUGACCCCUAAAAGGUUUCUAGGUCAGGGGGGAGAGCUAUGGGCUUAGGUGCCGGGCCCAACAAAAAAUAAUAAUAAUAAAACCAAACAAAAAACCUUCUCUCGCUACCCCAGUUUAUGCCAUUUGGCACCGCAUGUGCAAUGGGUUUGAGCCCAUCUGUUGAUUAAAAAAGGAGUCCCUUCUGCACCCCCAUGUUCGCUAAGUCACACCCUUUUCAAUUGGGCUUAGGCCCAAUCUGCCUUUAGAGAUGAUUUAGUUUGUACACCCCUAUUUUUCAUUUUUACCACCCCUAUUUUUAUUUUUACCACCCCUUUCCAUUUGGGCCUUGGCCCAAUUUGGUUAUUUUGUUUAUUUUAUUUUACUUGUCAUUUUAUUUCCUUUAGUUUAUUUUAUCAUUAUUUUUACUUUAUUUUUAUUUUUAUUUUCACUUUCAUUUUAUUUAGUUAUUUCCUAGUUAUUUAUAUUUUUCUACUUAUUUGUUUAUUUAUUUAUCUCGUUUAUCUAUUUCUUAAAUAAAUAUUCAAAAAUACUAAAAAAUAUUUUUAAAGGGUCCAGCGCAUGUGUGAUCGCAUGCAUCGUCCUUGUGUUGGACACCUUUUCUUCUUCUUUUAUAAAAAUACCAAAAANUCGCAUGCAUCGUCCUUGUGUUGGACACCUUUUCUUCUUCUUUUAUAAAAAUACCAAAAAAUAUUUUUAAAGGGUCCAGCGCAUGUGUGAUCGCACGCAUCGUCCUUGUGGUGGACACCUUUUCUUCUUCUUUUACAAAAAUACCAAAAAUAUGUUUUAAGGGGUCUAGUACAUGUGUGAUCGCACGCAUCAUCCUUGUGCUAGAAAACCCUUUCUUUUCUAUAAAUAAAAAUUAAAAAAAAAAUAUUUUCAAAGGGUCCAGCGUAUGUGUGAUCGCACGCAUCGUCCUUGUGCUGGACACCUUUUCUUCUUCUUUUAUAAAAAUACCAAAAAUAUGUUUUAAGGGGUCUAGCACAUGUGUGAUCGCACGCAUCGUCCUUGUGCUAGAAAACNCCUUCUUUUCUAUAAAUAAAAAUUAAAAAUAUAUUUUAAGGAUUCUAGCGCAUGUGUGAUCGCACGCAUCGUCCUUGUGCUAGAAGACCUUUUCUUUUUCUUACAUAAAAAUUACAAAAAUACCAAAACAUCAUUUCUCAAGCAAACAAUCAACUUUUCAGCCAGAACUACGUUAUCCUUGAUUCUCCACCAAAAGUGGAGAUACGUAGGAGCAAGGCUAGUCCUUGUUAGGCUCACUUUCCCAAAAAUCCAAAUUUUCCAAACAAACUUUCCAAACAAUUCUCCAAACAAAUUUUCCAAAUGGUUUCAAAAGAACUACGUAACCCUGAUUUCUCAGUCCAACUGAGAAUACGUAGGAGCAAGGUCAAUCCUUGUCGGGCACAAAAAAUACAAAAAAAUAUUUUGUUUUCUUAGGGUUUUAUUUUUUAGGGGAGAUUAAACAUUUUGCAAACCACAUUAAAUUCGCGCAUUUGAUUAAAGGUACUGCCUUCGGGCAGGCGUUGUAGGGUGCUAAUACCUUCCCUACACGUAACCGACUCUCGAACCCAAUCUUUGGUUUUCGUGGACCGUGUUUUAUCAUUUUAUGGUUUUUCCGUAGUUUUCCAGAAUAAACUAUGGUGGCGACUCCAAAUCUCUUUUUCAAAACAUUGUUUUCUUUUUGGAUCGUCUCGUCGCGAUUUUCUGGUUGCGACACCAAUGAAUUCAAUAAGGCAAUUAGGCAGGUUGAGUUCUUGUACCGAGAAGUGUCUUCCAAGGAUGCAAGAUUUAAUAUGAACAAAGACAUCUUCGACAGCCAAAUGAUAGACGUGGAUGAAAUAAAAGUCAUUAAGGUAGUCAAUAGGACAACGGCGAUCAAAGGUGUUAUUGAUGAAACAUCUGAUGAAGAGACAACCAGAGUGAUCCUUUAUGUUGCCGUCGACCCCAUGAUCUGGGAUGAGGAGAUAACUAACCCUGAAAACGAAGUCAACCAGGACUUAAGAUGUUUAUUUCCUUCUUUUGUUGUUGCCUUUUUUUUUACAUAAAGAUACAUAUUUGGUCCUAUUUUUGUAAUAGUCACCCAAAUUUGGGAUUGUGUAAUGAAAAAACACUUUUUCUUACAAUCUUUUUUGGUUAUGAAGUGUUCAUGGACUUUAGCUAGAUGGGCUUGGACCACGUGACCUAAUUACCUAUUAAUAUUGAAUUAUCAUAGCUUGGUCAUACAUUGAGAAAAACAUUAUCACUUAUUUAUGGUAUCUCUCUUACACGUGACUUUUUUGAAUCUCGAGACGAUUCACUUGGGAGACACAACACUAAUAAGACCUGAGUCCAACCAGGUAUUGAUUAAUGCUACUCUUAACCCAAAACCUUAUGGCAAUGAGUUAAUGGAUCUUCACCUUUGUAUAAUGUUUCACUUUCUCAUUUCUAUUUAAUGUGAGACUUAGACAUAUAUUUACAUUCCUAACAAUAUAUUAUCUAAAUUCUUAAGACAAGAAAAUAGGACAAAUUUUAUGGAUUUUAUAUAAAAAUAAUAAUAACUUAUUCAUAUUUAAAGACCAAAUUUAAUGGCUGAGUUUAGUUCCUAUACUAAGUUUGCACAAACUAUUUAGAAUAAAAUUUACAUCUGAAUUUUCUUAUACCCUUCUAACACUUAAUAAGAAAAUUAAUAUUCAACUAUUUUUAUUUGAUUUAUUUAAAAUUAUUUUAUGUUUUAAAAUAAAAUAUAUUUUAUUAAUAUUGAACAGUUGUUGAAUAUAAAAUGGAGUGUUUUUGAAUUGAAUAGAGUUGUUCCUAUAGAAGAUGUUUAUGCCAAAUGUGAGAGAAUCUUACAGCUUAAAUGGAUACAAUACAGAGACACAGAGAAAUAGAAACUUUUUGAACUAUCAUUAUUGAUAGUUAGAUAAUGGAAACAAAGAAGAAAGUGACAAAAGUGAAAAAGAUGUUCAUGGAAUUGAUAGGAACUUGCUAAAGAGUACCUACGAAUAAACAGAUCCUAACGCAAUUGAAAAAUACGAUUUCAUCAACCGUUAACUUAUUUUAAAGUGCAGAAGUGAAAGGAACAAUAAUAUUAAAUAUCCAAGAGUUGCUAGCAAAUGAUGUUUCCAACAGUGAAAAGGUUUGACUUGAGAUGCAAUAGUUAGAACAUGGUAACCCUUCCAAGUGAUCCAGUUGGUAAUGUCUGUAUAUUCUGCAUUGUACAAAGAGUCCAAACCAACAUCACAUUCCAUCCAACCCUGUCAAUGUUGGUCUUCAUGAACACUGUUCUUGAGUACUUCCUUCAGGGUCUAUCAAUGUAUGUUUUAAUACAACUAGGGUUGAUGAUUCUAGUGGUUUGAUGAUUGUGAUGGUUCUUGCAUAAUAGGAAAGCAGGUUGAAAGACAUAAAAGAGAAACACCGAAAGGCAUGCAAGGAAAGUACGUGCAAGUGAGAGAGAGAGAGAGAAAAAGAAAUGAAGAUGUGCAGAGGUAUACUGAAUAAUACGCAUGUGUUAUUUGACAUAGAGAAGAAGUGUUUUUAUACACAAUGUAAGCCACGAGAUGGGCAAUAACAAAUAAACUAACUAAACUAACUUGAAUUAAUGACCAAUACUCCUCCUUAAUUCAAGCCAUCUAUAAACG
rnacentral:lncRNA from 1 species